UACGUAGGUGUCGAGCGUUGUCCGGAUUUACUGGGCGUAAAGAGCGCGCAGGCGGUCGUUCAAGUCGCGUGUGAAAGCCCCCGGCUCAACUGGGGAGGGUCACGCGAUACUGAUCGACUCGAAGGCAGGAGAGGGUAGUGGAAUUCCCGGUGUAGUGGUGAAAUGCGUAGAUAUCGGGAGGAACACCAGUGGCGAAGGCGACUACCUGGCCUGUUAUUGACGCUGAGGCGCGAAAGCUAGGGGAGCAAACGGG
rnacentral:rRNA from 1 species